GAUGAAGAACGCAGCGAAAUGCGAUAAGUAAUGUGAAUUGCAGAAUUCAGUGAAUCAUCGAAUCUUUGAACGCAUCUUGCGCUCCUUGGUAUUCUGAGGAGCAUGCCUGUUUGAGUGUCAUUAAAUUCUCAACUACACUGACUUUGAAUUGGUGUGGCUUGGAUUUGGGGGGAAAAUUGUUGUGGGCUUUUUGUAUAGUCUGCUCCCCUGAAAUUGAUUAGCGGUACCUUUGUGGAACUGUCUACAGGUGUGAUAAUUAUCUACAUCUUAGACAUCUGCUGGAAUGCUGCUUUCUAAACCUUACUUGUAUUGACAAUCUUGAUCUCAAAUCAGGUAGGACUACCCGCUGAACUUAAGCAUAUCAAUAAGCGGAGGA
rnacentral:misc_RNA from 1 species